CCAAAGAGGACGCUUCUGGGACCCCGCCACCGGUGCUGGGGUCCCCGCGCUGGCUGUCACCUGGCCUUGAGUCUGCAAGGUGGAUUUAAAGCUCCCAGCCCUCCGGCACCCGCCCAAUGGAAGCUGCAGAGGCCGCCGAGCAGGGGCUGAGACAGACCAGUUCCCCCACUGGACGGAGACAGCUUUGGCUGUCUCUGGAGCCACGUUUCCUCCGAGCCUUCGGAAACCAGCUCACCUGACAAGCUUUUGGAGGUGCACUCAGCACGUCUGAGCGAGGUUGUGUCUUCCUGCUUUUAUGUUGCCACGCCUGGUAAUCUACGAUGGGAACCGGACAUCGUGGAUGACACCGAGAAAGAGCCUGUUUACCAGCCCAGUGGUGGUGACUUGUGACGGUGGGGGCCUCCUUCAGCCAUCCGCUGGGAAUUCCCACUCUGGCCCCCGGACCACUCUGCCUGCAGACGGAAGUAACACCCCUGGCAGUAACAGGUUCUUUAGCGGCUAAGUGGAGGCCCCCCGGCCCUGUGUCUCUCGCAUGGAGCAAGUGUGUGUCACUGGCCCAGGGUGCCGCCCCUCCGUGGGCUCCCUCGCCUGAAGCCCAGCUCUGGUUCUCCCAUCCACACCACCAACGGGCAGGAUAAUGCAGCAGACAGACAGAGACAGGGUGUUCGAACAUUCAGCACGCGUGACCCAGCAGUCGAACUGGUUUGGAAUGUGCGCGAACUGGUUUGGAAAAGGAGGCUAAGAAAACCAUGUGUUAUAUGCAUCUCUGUAUUAUUUGAAGACCUCAUUUUCUCUACAGAAGACUGGAACACAAAUGGUCUUACCUUACACUGUCUGGGACUUUUUCUGUGUGGCCUUCACCUGCGUUUUAAGGGUCGCAUUCUAGAACCAUGCCACGUCUUACCCUAGCAUCCCAGGCCUCCUGCCCUGUGAUCGUAUUCUGGCCAUCGUAAAUCUGGUCUCUGAUCCUGUAGGCAGCUUGGCUGACAUACUAGCCAUCAACCACAGCCUGUAUUCGCCUGCCUACCUCCCCAGGACUCCAUCUUGCCGAGCCCCGGACGUAUCAGGCCACAGCUCGGUCCACAGCCCGCGUCACACUGUGAUAGACCCUGAGAUGCCUCCGCGAUCCCGGUCUCCUCGUGUCCACGUCUGUGCUCAUGUCCUUCAGUACGGAUGUGACCUGUGAUUUGCUUCUAACCAGUGGAGUAUGGCAAAGGUGAUGGGAUGUCACCUCACAAUCGUAUCGCAGUAAGCCUCUGUCUUAUUAACAGGUUUGCAUUCUCUGUCUCUCCCUCGCUGGCUCCGAGGGAGCGCGGGGCUGUAUGAGGGAAACCCCCAUCUGGGAAGAAACUGCAGGCAGCCUCUGCCAGGGAAUGUAAACUUUCCCUUCUGCAGCUGUAAGGAACUGGAUUUUGCUAAUAAUCUGCGCUGGAAGUGGCUACUUCCCCAGUCAUGCUUUUGAUGAGACCUCAGAUUCGGUCGGCUUCUAGACUGCCGUCAGGUGAGACCCGGAAGCAGAGAACCCACCUAGGCCAUGCCUCAGCUUCUGAUUCACAGAUGCCGGGUAAAAAUAAAUAUGCUUUGCUUUAAGCCCAUAGGGCAGUUUUGAAAAGCGCUAACGUUUGGAUCAUCGGAGCCUCGGAAGUACAGGAGAAAUAGCACGGAGCGGAAAACAAAAUAUUUGAACCAAUAUUGGCUGAAAACAUCUCAAAUACAGGAAAGGCAUGAAUGUACAGGUGCAAGGUCAUCGGAAAACUCCCAACAGGAUAAAACCGAAAAAAGAAAUCCAUGCCCAGACACAGGCUGGUCUGGAAGAUCUCUUGCAGAAAGAGAACAAAAAUAAACAAGCAAGCAAAAGAAACAGAUAAGCCAUCACAACACAAAGCCAUUGGGAUAGAGAGAGGUGUAGACCAGACCGGGGGAGUGACAAUGAGAGUUGAUGUUUAGAGGAGUGUGUGUGUGAGAGACAGAGACAGAGACAGAGACAGAGAGACAGAGCCCUAGCCCAGAAGGAAGAACCACACAGCCUGUCUCCUCCUUAGGAUCCCUUCAUCUCGUAGCCUAGAAGGCACAGAGUCCCUACUGAGCCUGGCCUCUGGUGAUGCGGGUCAAAGGUCAAGGGGACUUGUGGCUUUUAAAAACUUUUUAUUUUGAAAUAAUUUCAAACUUAGAGAAAGAUUGCAAGAUAAAAUACAAAGAAUCCUCCUAUACCCUUUACCUAGAUUCACCAAUUAUUAAUAUCAGGCCACAUUUGCUUUGUCUCCAUCCAAUACAUCUAGUUAGAGAUCUGUGUCUCUCUCUCUAUAUAUAAUUGCAUGGCGAUGAGUUCUUAAAGGGUACAGGCUAGGUGUCUUGUAGAUGGGUUGAACUUUUAAACCUCACCGCCAAGUGCCCUUGGGGUCCAAAGAUGUCUUGGCAACAGAGUUGAAAACAGGUGGAAGGUCAUAGGAACCGGAGAAAUGGAUGAGCAAGCCAGGCGUAUUCAUUUUCCACCUUCCCCAGCACCUCGGCUCAGUGGUGGUUGUGAAUUUUCCCCCCAGGUAAACAUCCCGUAAAGGAAAGAUGCAGAGAGAGGGGAGGAAGGAGGUAUGAGUUCUGCCAGAUGUGCCUCACUCUGUCGGUCUCAGAUUUAUUUGAGGCCAGUCUUCCUCAUGGACUCCAUGCUCUUGGUCCUGGGACUUCACUGUACUCACAUAUUAUGGAAUAUUUUUAAUGACUCUUGACCUUUUCACAUGCAGUGUUUCUGUAACUUCUGGCCCCCUUCUUCCCAUGGUGAACUUUCACUUCUCCUUCAGACUGUGGCUCAGAGGUUAUCAACUCUGCAGAAGGAUCCAGAUCCUGCCAAAACCUGCAUGCUUCGUCGUUUCUUCUCUUGGCUUCAACACUUUUUAUUACCUUGUUAUAGCGUGUUGGAUAUACUUUUUUUUUUUUACAUAUUUUAGCUUUCUGGAAACUUUUAUAGGAAAUAAAUGAUCUCUAAUAUAAGUGCUAUCUCCCCAGGGUCCAGGCUACUGUCUGCCACAGACAAGCUGUUCAAUAAAUGUUUAUUGUGUGAAGAAAUAAAUGCACUAAAAGUGACUGGAUACAAUUGUCAUUGUUAGCCAUUUAAAAAUCAUCCAUAAGAACGAGAUUAAAUUUACAGUUGGUUUUUAAUAUUGAUCAAAGGAGUAGUUCUGCUUUCUUAAAGGCAAAACCAUAUGGACCUAAGACACCAAAAACGCAAGACUGCCAUCUACUGAUCAACAUGUAAGCAAAGACACGCUGAGAUGCAGUGGAAAAUACGUGUCAGUUUCAAUAAUGCGCUCCUUACGUAGGUUACAGGAAAUGGGAAGGAAAGAUGGAAACAAAAUUAAGAGAUGUUGCUAUGAUAUUUUCCUGGAAAAUAUUUUCUCCUCAUAAUUCAUGCAAAAUAU